UACAGAGGUCUCAAGCGUUGUUCGGAUUCAUUGGGCGUAAAGGGUGUGUAGGUGGCGCCGUAAGUCGGGUGUGGAAAUUUCGGAGCUUAACUCCGAAACUGCAUUCGAUACUGCCGUGCUUGAGGACUGGAGAGGAGACUGGAAUUUACGGUGUAGCGGUGAAAUGCGUAGAUAUCGUAAGGAAGACCAGUGGCGAAGGCGGGUCUCUGGACAGUUCCUGACGCUGAGGCACGAAGGCCAGGGAGCAAACGGG
rnacentral:rRNA from 1 species